AUUGUGCUAAGCGAUCUCGUUAUAGUCAAAACAAUGCGAGAUCCGCGGGAAUUGGGAUUAUGUUAGUUGGAGGAUCAUUCGACGCUUCAUAAUGUCGGAAUAACAUAAUUAGUAUGUUAUUUUCAAUAAUACAUUAAUGGGAAGUGCAUGUUAAUGUGUCAAUCUUUGAUAUGAAAGACUUUGUUAUUUCUACGUUCCCAACCAAUGGAGGAAACUCGGGAUGAUAAAGCAUGUCGAUAGUAACAUGUAAAAUUAAUAAAUAUCAAGAUCGUAACACUGCCCCCUUCCUAAUAGGCAUUCGUCCUCGAAUGGGAACUUUAUCAAUCCAUUGAAAGGAAAGGAAGCAAGUGAUGUCAAAGACCUUCCUGGGAUUGACUCUUCUUUUCCACAGCCAUUACUAACCCGGAGAGUUCAAAAUACUUAGCCUCAACAUAAAUCUGUCGCAAAAUGUUUAAGUCCGUCGGUAGUACACGUGGAAAUGCCUCAGGUGAACGUAAAUAAUCCAGUAUAAAGUCAAAGUAACGUGGAUUUCGAUCAAUGAAAUAUGUGUUGUCAUUUGGUUUGAAUGGCGAAUUUGGAUGGACCAUGGAAGAUAAAAUGGAUGAUGGGUCACUAGACAAAGUCAGUUUGCUGGUUUCAAACUUUCUUCCACCAAUGUUUAGAAUCACCCGACUCGAGUGCUGUUCCUUCAGGACAUUCAGUUUCACAUCCAUGUGGUUUGAGGGCACAUAUGAAGGCACCUGUUUUGGUGACUUAAUUUCAUACGUAUCCUCUUCUGGAGCAUGUAUGGACAAAACAUCUUGAUGUUGACCUGUGGCUUCUGCUUCUCGCUGUUGUAUCUGUGUCUCUUUGAUUGAUGAGUGGCUAGAUGUUGAAGAAGAACCUGAUGAGCUGGAGCUUGAUGAGGAAAUGGAAGAGAGAAUAGACUUAGACUUAUAGAUUUUCUUUGCUGUAGUGGGAGCUGGAUUUGUUGGGUUGGAUGUCACUUUCGAUUUUGGAGCAGGUUCAAUUGGCUCAGUGUACAAAGCUCUCUUGGCUCCAGGAGCUGCAUGAAAAUUUGGAGUGACUUCCUUCAUGAACGAUCCAACCAAGCUCGAUCUCUUUCUUUGGAAAUCAGCGAACUCCUUCUUCUCCUCAUCACCAUACUUCAUAUUGGAUUUCUUUAGUAUCUUGAGAUGGUAUCCAGUACAUCCAUGUUUCUGAUCUUUGCGACCUAGCAUAUAUUGGCAGAUGUUACAUUGAUAACCAAAUCCCGAAUGCGUGGCAGUGAGAUGGCGUUCAGCAUGUAUCUGGGUUAGUUCUCCCCAGUACAAGAUCAAUAGGGAGUGCAACUUGUCGACCAAAGACCAUUUUAUUUGGGCUUACCCCAGUCGAUUCGUGAACUGAGGAUCUGUAUGCUAACAUAAGGAAAGAGCUUUGAGAAGUAGAUGGCAAAGCGGCGUUUUGAUUCCCAGAGCGGGUAACCACUUGGCAUGAUUCAGAUUGAUGGGUUGCUGAUGCCUGUUUGGGAGAAGAUAGAACAUGAUAAUCUUUGGAUAAAUUAGGAGAUCCCAUAUAUGAUCUGGGAUUAAAUACUACCUCUCCAGAAUCUUCUAAAUUGCUGUUUUCUCUAGACAUCUUUCUUUAUAUAAAAAAAUAUGAAAAAAAAUGGUUUUAUUGGAUAUAAUAAAUUGUCUUCUGAAUUUGAA